UCGAAGACAGAACCCUAUCAUGAACGAAGUCGCCAUUUUCACGUUUUGAACCAAAACUGGAGUCGCCCUCUCUCAGUCUCUUUCUCUCAGAGACUCAGAGUCUCAGUCUCUCCCUUUCUCUGCGGUCCGGCUGCACGAUUCUCAGGCUCUCAGCGGCUCAACCUCUCUCCGACUGUCGGAGUCGCCGGUGACAACGAAUUUCUGUCAUCACUCAUUCACUCUUGGUUUGCUUCUUCGACUCCUCCUCAAGCUGUCUAGCCACUCCUCAAGCAGCAAACUUUGGGCUUUCUGGGUUCGAUUUCUGGGUUCAAGGCUUCAAGGAGUUCAAGCUCGG